AUUUUCUUCACAUUUACUUCUUCUGGGUUCCAAUCUUUGGCAUGGAUUACUGUCCAGCUACAACUAGCUGCGACUAGCCUUGCCCUACACAGUUUACCUUCAGACUGAUGUGUGGCAAGAGGAGUCUGGGUCUCCUUUGAGUAAGACACUACUUCCCUUGGCAGA